AAUGAACGCUGGCGGCGCGCCUAAUACAUGCAAGUCGAGCGAGAAGACGUAGCAAUACGUUUGUAAAGCGGCGAACGGGUGAGGAAUACAUGGGUAACCUACCCUAGAGUGGGGAAUAACUAGCCGAAAGGUUAGCUAAUACCGCGUACGCUCCUUGGACUUCGGUUCAGGGAGGAAAGCGAUACCGAGGGUAUCGCGCUCUUGGAUGGGCUCAUGUCCUAUCAGCUUGUUGGUGAGGUAACGGCUCACCAAGGCUUCGACGGGUAGCUGGUCUGAGAGGACGAUCAGCCACACUGGCACUGCGACACGGGCCAGACUCCUACGGGAGGCAGCAGUAAGGAAUAUUGCGCAAUGGGCGAAAGCCUGACGCAGCGACGCCGCGUGGGGGAUGAAGGUCUUCGGAUUGUAAACCCCUUUCGGG
rnacentral:rRNA from 1 species